rnacentral:lncRNA from 1 species
AAGAAAUAGGGGUAUAAGGGAGAUUUGAGCCUCCAAAGAAUCUGAUAAUAGCCCAUAGAACAUUCUAGUGAGGGGCUAAAACAUAAUUUCAGCCUCAAACUUGAGGCACAAGUCAGGAAUUGAGGGAUCAUAUAAGAAAAGCUGAAAUCUAACUCAGGGACUAAAGGAAAAAACAAGGGAAAACGGAGGCCCUAAGGCUCCACUAUCAAAAAAACCAUCAGAGCAUUUUUUGAAGGAUCCGGAACCUUUCUUUAUAAUUCUAGAGAUAACAAUACAUAUUAGCUCUUCUUAUAUCUGUGAUAAACAAUCAGUUCUGCAUUUAUUCCUGUGAGAUUUUAAUUUUUCUCAAAAAUCUAUUUAAAUCCUGGGUGCACUAUUUGAUUGGCUACUGUUUUGCUUGGCUAAUUAAUUACAUUUACUCUUAGGUUGUCAUUCUCUGCUGAAUUACAGGUACAUUCAAUGUUUAUUGAUGUAUUGAAGCUCAAGUAUAAUGUAUACCUAAGUGUGAAGAUCUGAGUUUGUUAUUUUUAUUCUGAACCCUCAUCCAGUUUCUCCUUCUAGUUCGACUAUAUGUAAUGAUAAGAUAAUCACCUUGUUGUACUUAGACGUUUGAACUGUUUUCUUUUUGUAAUAACUGGACAUUUGGGGCUGAUUCACUAUGUAAUUAUUGGACAUUUG